GGGCUCUGCCCUAUUUUGUUUUUGCGGCUGGACCUACUACAGACACAGUGCUGGCAGCGGUGCAGACCGGAGCGCAGCCCAGGCUUCCUCUUUCCCUCUGUUCUUGGCUGCUUCAGUAUGAACAGAAAACGUGGGCAGGGGCCAACUGGCAGAAGCCACAGAAAUAGCAGCGCGUGAUUCUCAGAGGAGCAGCAGAAAGGCCGGCAGCAGGCCCUGCCCUCUGCCCAGUUCUCGUUGAAGAAGGUUACUGUUGGCUCGCAGUCCCCAGCGGUUUCCGGGCUCACUUCCCUCCGGGCAGGGCAGACCACGCCAGUGAAGAGACCACUCAGAGGUUGGGCUCCGUGAUCUCGGCCAACAGCACACUGCCCAGAGGCAGGAGAGACACUGGACUGCAAAUGCCACGUAGAAAUCUCACUAUCUGAACUGCACUACGUGGCAGAGCCUACUCGGAAGAGGGCACAGCUGGGCCGCCUCUGAGCCCUGGAAAAGGGUGCAGCGCCCAGGAGCGAAGGUGUCAAUCAUCCCGGCGCAUGCGUGGAAGGCCGGCCCUGGGAUUAGCAGGCUUCCAGAGCCAGCUGGCUGCUGCUCAUUAGCAACCGCCUGGAGCGAAGUUGCCCGGGGCUGUUUUCGGCAAGCCCAGCCCAGCCGCGGACAGAGCGGGUGACUCAAACUCUCCUUUGCCAGUUUCUCCGUUUCCUCCCCCUCCCUCUCUCUUUCUGGGUCUACAAUACUCUGGUCAGGACAGUUCCAGUCAUAACUGGAUCUUUCCACUACGUAGUAGCACACAUGAGGAUUUGCUGGAGGAGUGUUUUGUUUUGUUUCGCUACUAUUAAGCAAGAUUGCUUCAUAAUCCUUUAAGUGUUUUUUAGCCAAGUCUUACUUUCACAUCCUGGCCAACAAGCACGUGAUUAAGCCCAGGAUGUCAAGGAGGGAAAGCAGAUACACAUCUGAAAAACAGCUGAUGCUGUUUCAUUCAGUAGACAAAAACAACUGAGCUGUGGAAAAGGACAACUGUCUCUUGGGCCAACGGGACACAAAACUCAGAUUCUGGAGACCCUCAGGACAAGGAGGAGCUGCUGAGGAUCAAACUCCGGACCUUGGGCUUGAAAGGCAGGCGGAAGAACCACUGAGUUAAAUCCCUGGCCCCUCAGCUCUUGAAUGUGGCCACCUACCUUGACAGUUCUUUAGUAAAAGCUUGGUAAAUCAAGUAGAAGUUUAUACUGACAAACUGUGUAACACUGUUGGAGAGAACGUUUUCUAAGAAGUUUGAAAACAGUCUUUGGUGGCUCCAGUUCAAAAUGAGGUUCACGUGUGGAUGUGUGAACAGUGCUUCCAGUUCAAACAAGAACAAUGAAUUCCACAAGCCCACAAGAAUGUGACAAGGUGUCAACAAAGCCAACCAGGAAGGUGAUGUAUGGCCCACACAGCUUCCAUAAAUCACUUCACAACCAAGACUACAAAAGAAUGAACUAGCAACCCAGAGCCAGAGUGCAAACCCUCAAACAUUCAUAGUCCCUCAGCCCACUGUGCUUGUCAAGCACCCUCACUGCCAGUCACCUGUCACCUGUUCAUCAACCAGCUGGCCUGCUCCAUAGUUAGGACAAGUGCUUUUCCUUCUGUCCCAAAUACUAACAUACAGGGAGGAGCACUAUUCGAUUUAAUGCCUUAGGGACAUGUAUCUACACAGCUAUCUUGAAGGCUGCCUAGAAAGUUCUAUAUUUCAAUUUAGAAAAACUUGAAACGUCAAUUUCAAAGGUUUAUAAAUGGCAAAGUACUUGUUUAUAGGUGAAAAUUUGAUUUAGAAAGUUUGGGUUUCGAUGGUGAAAUGAUUUUACAGUUUUAAAAAUCAGGUCAUAACUUUUACCUACUUGAUAGUGAUAGAGAAAUUAAAAACUAGCAAUUUAGAAACCCUUUCUGGGAUUAUAGGAUUUCGUUUUCUGAAAAACUGAGUAUGUAGUUGUGUAUACACCAAAAUUAAGAGGGGAAUGGAAGCACUUAACCUUGUUUUAUGCAAAGUAACUUACUGGCAAAAAUAAAAUUAUCAAGUAAGUAAUUUUCUAUCAAGGUUUUAAUAUAUCUAAAUGAUUUUAUAUACUCUUUAUACCAUGAUUUGGAGAUGAGUGCACAGUGUAAAUUUCUAAUGCAGAAACUCCUGAAAAUAUAUAAAUACAAAUGAUUGACUGAUUUCAUAGCAACUUGGAAUCCAUUCUGUGAAAACCAUGAUGCAGACUUUCAAGAGAAGCUAAAUACAUCAUCUAUAAACAUUUAUUCAUAUGAUAGACUGACUUUGGGCUACUACAUUCCUGCAUAACAAGUUUGAGAGAAAAAUAAAAAACUUCUAAAGAAACAGUUUUAUUGAAAACUAAAGAAAACAUAAAAGAAAAAACUCAUCAAUUUCCAUGAUAAUGAAGACCAAGGUCAGCCUUAGAUGAAUGUGGUUCUAUUUCUUCCCUUCAACCAUUUUUUAAAAAUAAUCAAAGAUUCUAAAAAUAGCUGGAAUAGCAGAGAUGAGCUCAUCCUCCACUGACUAACCUUGCUUAUUCUCUAUAAUGAUAAUAAAAAUAAUGAAAACAGCAAAUAAAAAUAAAAAGGGCAUUCACUAAAUUGGUAGUUUAGACUCACAGAAAGUAGACCAAUGAUUGAUGUUAAGUCUUAAAAAAAUCUAAAUACACAAAAAUCUACAUAAAUGAUUCUUUGGAUCAACUUUGAAAUAAACUAAGGGUUACUAUAAAUUCCAAGUUCUAGUGCUUGUAAAUAGAUCACUUUAGAAUAAUAUGACUUACUUAUCCAAGAAUACAAGUGUUCAAUUAAAAAAUAUACAUCUGUUAUUACUGCCAAUAAAACCAUCAAAUCAAGAAUGGACUGAGCCACUUUGAGUGUAUCUUCUAGGAUUAGAAUGAGUAAAAAUUCAAUUUGGGAUUAUAUUGGAAGAAUUACCUCUUGUAUGAACUAUUAAAUGCUUUUCAAUAUAUACAUUUCUUAUUACUUUUACACAUUUAUGAUUUAAACAAAACAAAACCCAUUAGGCUAUAGUGUCAAGCUACAUGGUAAUUCUAAAAGUAUUACUGGGGUUGGAUAAAGGGAGAUGAGAACAUAAAAUUGAGUACAUGCAAAUUUGUGAGAUUCCAGUUUUCUUGCAGUGGAAAAGCUUGUAGAAAGAGUUGUGUUUGUUUCAAAAUAUGACUCUAUUUUGCUAAGAUGGAGCUCCAAACUGGAAAAGGAAAAGGAGAGAAGGACGCUGGGGCCAACCAUUUGAACUCGUCUAAUAUUUCUAAGCAUUCUUGUGAAAAUACUAAACUUCAUACAGAGAUACAGAAAAAUAGAUGGGUUAGAAUCAUGAACAUCUACCCUUUUAUAUAAGGAAAAGAUAUUUUGGCAGUCCAUAGGAGGUUCCUGGGGUAAAUCUGGGCAGGCCGGUUCAUAUGCAAAGAACAAAUAUACAUAAAUCACUUGUGAGCUGCUCUAACAAAGCCAACAAGGCACCUGUUGGCACCCUAUUCCUCCUUCUGAAAAAGACUAAAACAUCUUCUAGAAGGAACUACAUCUUCAGAUGGUUUCCAUCCUACUUGCAACCUAGGCUCUGUUGUAUGAGAGCAACUUGCUCCCAAUGAGGAUGAUUAACAUUUCCUGAGUUCUGCCUCACCCCAUUAGACUUGGAUAUACAUUUUCACUUAAAGUUUCUGAGCAAGACUGGCAAAGCCUUCAGCUAAACAGCAGACUUCACAUAGCUUUAAAUUAUAUAUAUUUUAUAUACUGACUAUUUACAUUUUAUAUAUGUAGGCUAUUUAUAUCAUUUGUUCUAAUUUUUGUUUUAAAUAUACAAAUGCUUAUCUUCAUAGAUAAUAAAUGAGAUCUUUGAGUAUAAAGGAUAAACUCUUACACAUAUUCACAACUAGCCGGUAUCAGUACAUAUAGCCCAAGACUCAACUCCAAUUAAGUCCAAAGUGAAGAAAGGAAAAUUGAAAAUUACUACAAAUUUGCCUCUAUUUUAUUGUCACUUCAUUCAGUCAGCAAAUAUCCAUUAAACAUAUAGUGUAUAUAAAAUGCUGUAUGGUAAAAUACAAAGUGAAGUCUCACAUAUUGUUUGCCAUUAUUAGCAUAUCUCAAAAUUACCUUUUUAUGAGUGUGAUUUUUGUUAAUUCCAUAAGGUCAUAAACCAUAUAUUAAUUCCUCUGAAUGUCCUGUAUGUUAAUCAUUUAAUAUAUAAUUCUAUCAUGUCAUUAUUGUACAGGCAUGGGUAAAUACCAGAAGCAAAACUUGAAAACAGAGGCCGAGGAUUUAGCUCAGUGGUUUAGCUGCCUGCUGUGCAAGUGCAUGGA